rnacentral:rRNA from 1 species
UACGUAGGGGGCAAGCGUUGUCCGGAUUUAUUGGGCGUAAAGCGCUCGCAGGCGGUCGAUCAAGUCGAGUGUGAAAGCCCCCGGCUCAACUGGGGAGGGUCACGCGAUACUGAUCGACUCGAAGGCAGGAGAGGGUAGUGGAAUUCCCGGUGUAGUGGUGAAAUGCGUAGAUAUCGGGAGGAACACCAGUGGCGAAGGCGACUACCUGGCCUGUUCUUGACGCUGAGGCGCGAAAGCUAGGGGAGCAAACGGG